GUUUUUCACAUUGAUAUCUUUUGGUUGUAGUUGUUGUUUAAAGUAAGUGUAAAUGUGUGGAUACUCCAGCUGUUCAGUGACCCGGAGGUCCCAUCCCAACUGGAGAACACGAGUGUUGGAAAUUUGUUAAUGAUCCUUCCGCAGGUUCACCUACGGAAA
rnacentral:misc_RNA from 1 species